ACGCAACAAUGACAAAGAAGCAAUUGAAGGAUGAUUUUAGUGUCGGGUUAAGGGAGCAGUACCAUGACGGUGGAAAAUAGAUAAGUUUUACUUCAAAUGGGACAAUGGAACAUGAAAGAUAAGGAACCUUCACUUUGUAUAUGCUACUGUGUGCUGCUACGGUCUCGUGUGUGUUCAUUUUGGUGCCAGAAACAAAGGGAAAAACAUUGGAGGAGGUACACUUUUCCCUAAGAUAAAAUGCUCUGCUGCUGCUGCUUCAUCCUUGUGUUCUAUUAGAUGUUUAAAUAGCCUUUCUUUUAUUCUUUUGUGGUGCUGGUAGGAGUUGUAAUCUUUUUGGAAUUUAUGAUAAUUGUAUGGGAAUGCAAUAAACUUUAGAAGUACCAUAAGAAUAUCAUGUAAUAAUCUUAUAAGAUAAGAAACUAGACUAGAGAACUAAUGUUAUAAUGUAAGUGCAGCAGAGAUACAUAAACAACUUAAACGACAAAUUUGAAGAGAGAAAACACUUUGGUUUCUAUCUGAUAUACUCUUGAAUGUACGUUAAGAACCAUCAAGUAUAUGAUUCUAAAGUAAAAGCACUAGGUUAA